GCCUCGAUAGCUCAGUCGGGAGAGCAUUAGACUGAAGAUCUAAAGGUCCCUGGUUCAAUCCCGGGUCGAGGCA
rfam:Ciona savignyi cont_32184, whole genome shotgun sequence.